rnacentral:rRNA from 1 species
GACGAACGCUGGCGGUGUGCUUAACACAUGCAAGUCGAACGAUAAGGCCCUUUCGGGGGUACACGAGUGGCGAACGGGUGAGUAACACGUGAGUAACCUGCCCUCAUCUCUGGGAUAACAGUCGGCAACGGUUGCUAAUACUGGAUAUGAACUUGCAAGGCAUCUUGUGGGUUGGAAAGAUUUUUUUUGGUUGGGGAUGGACUCGCGGCCUAUCAGCUUGUUGGUGAGGUAGUGGCUCACCAAGGCUUCGACGGGUAGCCGGCCUGAGAGGGCGACCGGCCACAUUGGGACUGAGAUACGGCCCAAACUCCUACGGGGGGCAGCAGUGGGGAAUAUUGCACAAUGGACGGAAGUCUGAUGCAGCAACGCCGCGUGCGGGAUGACGGCCUUCUGGGUGUAAACCGCUUUCAAUUGUGACGAAGCGUGUUUGUGACGGUAGCAGUAGAAGAAGCACCGGCUAACUACGUG